AUUGAACGCUGGCGGCAUGCUUUACACAUGCAAGUCGAACGGCAGCGGGGGCUUCGGCCUGCCGGCGAGUGGCGAACGGGUGAGUAAUGCAUCGGAACGUGCCCAGUCGUGGGGGAUAACACAUCGAAAGAUGUGCUAAUACCGCAUACGUCCUGAGGGAGAAAGCGGGGGAUCUUCGGACCUCGCGCGAUUGGAGCGGCCGAUGUCGGAUUAGCUAGUUGGUGGGGUAAAGGCCCACCAAGGCGACGAUCCGUAGCGGGUCUGAGAGGAUGAUCCGCCACACUGGGACUGAGACACGGCCCAGACUCCUACGGGAGGCAGCAGUGGGGAAUUUUGGACAAUGGGGGCAACCCUGAUCCAGCCAUGCCGCGUGAGUGAAGAAGGCCUCGG
rnacentral:rRNA from 1 species